rnacentral:RNase_P_RNA from 1 species
CAGGGGAAAGACGCAAUCGCCGCCAUCUGUAAAGACGGGGGAGGAAAGUCUGGACUUCACAGGAGAGGAUACCAGUGAAAGACUGGGGGCCGAGAGGCUACGGAAAGUGUAACAGAAAAUAUUCCGCUAUUGAGUUUCAAUAGACAGGCUGAAAAUGCUCAUUUUGUGAAUGAGCCAGAUCUAGGGCAACUUAGACUGCUAUAAACCCUAUCCGAAGCAAGACUAAUUGAAGUGUUAACGCUCUCCGCGCAGCUUCAGCAAAGUCGCCAGAGGAUGUCGGCAACGGCAUCCCUAGAUGAAUGAUUGCGACUUUCUUGUAAAAGAAAGACAGAAUCCGGCUUAUUAUUUCCCCUGACCU